rnacentral:rRNA from 1 species
UGGGGAAUUUUGGACAAUGGGGGAAACCCUGAUCCAGCCAUCCCGCGUGUGCGAUGAAGGCCUUCGGGUUGUAAAGCACUUUUGGCAGGAAAGAAACGUCAUGGGUUAAUACCCCGUGAAACUGACGGUACCUGCAGAAUAAGCACCGGCUAACUACGUGCCAGCAGCCGCGGUAAUACGUAGGGUGCAAGCGUUAAUCGGAAUUACUGGGCGUAAAGCGUGCGCAGGCGGUUCGGAAAGAAAGAUGUGAAAUCCCAGAGCUCAACUUUGGAACUGCAUUUUUAACUACCGGGCUAGAGUGUGUCAGAGGGAGGUGGAAUUCCGCGUGUAGCAGUGAAAUGCGUAGGUAUGCGGAGGAAAAACGAUGGCGAAGGCAGGCUCCUGGGAUAACACUGACGCUCAUGCACGAAAGCGUGGGGAGCAAACAGG